AGCCACAUCAUGUUGAAACACCAGUUCUCAUAUGAACACCAAAAUUAAGCAGCAUUAAGCUUGAUCAGUACCUAGUAGGGUGACCAACUGCGAAUACCAGGUGCUGUU